rnacentral:rRNA from 1 species
AUUGAACGCUGGCGGCAUGCUUUACACAUGCCAGUCGAACGGCAGCGCGGGCUUCGGCCUGGCGGCGAGUGGCGAACGGGUGAGUAAUACAUCGGAACGUGCCCAGUAGUGGGGGAUAGCUCGGCGAAAGCCGGAUUAAUACCGCAUACGACCUGAGGGUGAAAGCGGGGGAUCUUCGGACCUCGCGCUAUUGGAGCGGCCGAUGGCAGAUUAGCUAGUUGGUGGGGUAAAGGCCUACCAAGGCGACGAUCUGUAGCUGGUCUGAGAGGACGACCAGCCAAACUGGGACUGAGACACGGCCCAGACUCCUACGGGAGGCAGCAGUGGGGAAUUUUGGACAAUGGGCGAAAGCCUGAUCCAGCAAUGCCGCGUGUGUGAUGAAGGCCUUCGGGUUGUAAAGCACUUUUGGCGGGAACGAAAAGGACUGUGCCAAUACCACGGUUCGAUGACGGUACCCGCAGAAUAAGCACCGGCUAACUACGUG